AGAGAUGGCUUUAGCUGCCUGUGAAGAAGAAAUCCUCUGCAUCCUGAUGUCCACCAGAUUCAGCUCAUGGUCUUCUGGUGUCCAGAACUUACCAUCUUUCAGCUCUCACCAAUGAGGAAGUCCACAUAUCUUGAAUCUAGCCUCUGUCAGUCCCUAUUCCUGUGGGAGGGAUAUUGUGGAAACCUGAAGCAUACUGAAAGUGCCUUUAAAAGGAGAUGCUGAUUUUAAUUGGAGGGAAUGGUACACAAGCCUGCUAAAUAGAGUAUUUGGUCUAAUUAAUCAGCGGCUAUGUUCAUGAUUGGGCAUGGAUGUCUGGAAAGGCCUUCGCUCCUCAAUAUGUCCAAGGGUUUAAAAGUCUGAGGCAAAUCCAAGUUCACUGACUAAAGACUGCUGGAUAUACAAGAGUGUAACCACCCCUUUUAUCCCACUACUAUGACCUCAAAAGAAAGACUUGUCAAAAAGCAUUCAUAGUAACAGCAUACGUGAAUAUUUUCACUGUUUAAAGUCUGCCACUUAUUCCUUUGUACCACUCUGGUUGCUUUCCUGAGAUCACAUUAAACUCAGCUGAGCAUAACAUGCAAAGGAAAAGUGACCCUGAAAGGUUCCUUUUAAGCACUCUAUGCUUCCCUGACUCAUUUUAAUGUGGCUGCCACGUGGUUCAGUAGCUGUAUAAGUGCAUGUGCUUGUUUAGUCCUGCCGUAAAUGUUAAUCUCUCCCUGGAAGAUAAAAGGACUGCCCCCUUAUAUUAUAUUAACUCCAAAAUUAUUAUUACUUUCAAAAAAUAUAUAUUUUUUGUAUUUAAGCCUCCCUUCCAUGAAUGUGAAGGGAGAUGGCAGUAUCAAGACAGCACUUUGACAAAAAAAAAAAAAAAGGCAAAAUGCCAGUCCUCAUUGUAGGCCUGUGGGGUAGUGCAUAUGAAACAAAAACACUGCUACAAAGGAAG